ACGUAGGUGGCAAGCGUUGUCCGGAAUUAUUGGGCGUAAAGCGCGCGCAGGUGGGAUCUUAAGUCCAUUUUGAAAGUUCGGAGCUCAACUCCGUGAUGGGAUGGAAACUGGGAUUCUUGAGUACCGGAGAGGAAAGCGGAAUUCCCCGUGUAGCGGUGAAAUGCGUAGAUAUGGGGAGGAACACCAGUGGCGAAGGCGGCUUUCUGGACGGUGUCUGACACUGAGGCGCGAAAGCCAGGGGAGCGAACGG
rnacentral:rRNA from 1 species